CUGCUCACAUCAUGAGUACAAUGGGACUUUGUUAUAUUGAGCCUGGGAAAGUGGGCCUUGUUUACCAUGAAUUUUCUUGCUAAAAUGGAAGUGGAAAGUUACUUGCCUACAGGAGAGUGAAUACAAAGUAUUAAGGAGUGUUGGAGACAAAUCGUAUUCAAGGGAAAGAGAGGAGAUCAAAUACUGAAAAAGAAAUAGAAAAAUGUGAAAAACCAAGUUGAUAAAAGGAAGAGAUGGAAAUAAACAAGAUAUAGAAGGAAAAAAUGAGAAGUGAAACCUUCAUGUGAUAUUAAAGCAAAGGGCUAUGAUAUGGAAUUCCCUUACUCAUCCCCUGGUCCCCUGCCGAGCUUUCUUAGAUUUGGAGACCUUGUAGGGGAGCUGCUGUCUCAGAGAGAAAGAUCCAUCACUUGCUUGAUAAAGAAGCAAGAAAACAGAUGCAAGAGAUACCAGUCAACAUAUUUGAUAGUUUGCUCAUUUUUUCAUUUAUUUUCUCAUUUAUUCAAUGAUCUUGCAAGCGUUUAUCAUCUAUCAGAGUAAGUAUUUUGGUGGCAGAAGUAGACAGGAUGCCUAACAUAAAUCACAAUGUUCACCUUUCAAGAGUAACUAAAGAACAGCAAUUAAUGACACAAAUAUUCAAGUUAAUAUAUAGAGGUAUAGAUAAACAUUCUGGGAACUCAUCUGAAUAAUAAGCAACAGGUCCUCAUAUAUUUAUUGUUAAGAAUAUUUUUAUAAGAGGAAAUGGGAAAAUGGGGGGGCUUUAAUUGGGACAGAGGAGGAAAGUCAAUUUUAAAGAAAAGGGGGAGAGCAGGGGAAAAUGGCACUGAUGAUAUCUGAAAAAGUCCUAAGGAAUUAUGCCAUUAUUCAUUGACCUAGAAUUACAUGCAAUACAUAUAAGUCUAUGUGUAUACAUACACACAUAUUUAUAUAUACUUAUAUAGUUUAAAUGAAAUUGUUUCAUUUGGGUUUAAAAUGCUCUCACCAAGAACCAUAGAAUAUCUAAUAAAACCCCAACAUGUGACACUCCCUUUCAGUUGUCAGUUAGGAGAGUCCAAGAGGCACUCCAAAUGAUAUAAGCUAUUGCUGUUGCCUUUGGUUGUCUCCCAGAGGUGGAAGGUAGGUUUCUAUAAGUGAGGACACCAUGCAUGUCAGGUGUCCUGAGCUGGAUCUGACAUGGCAACCUCCUCCCUGAGGACUAGCUUUAAUAGUAGCAGAAAGUGCUAUGCAAGCUGCUAAGGGAGAGAAGCAACUAAGAGUCCUACCGUGCUGUGAUGCCUAUGAACCACAGCAAGAGCCAGCAUGUCAAGAUAUUCCCAAGGAUGCAACAAUGGCACUCACUUAGACCUUAGUGGUAACCAACAGCUCUCUCUAAUUGGAUUUGAGGUCCUCUCCAGAGCUGGGAAAUCAUAUCUGCUAUUGGAAACCAAGCCAAAUACCUGGGGCUAAUGAGGUCACAUAUCUUAGUGGAGAACCUACUACCCACACAUCCUGAACCAGCAUAGUUCCUAAAUUCAUUCUAAAUAUUAAAGCUCAUACACACAGGUAAGUGUAGCUUUUACCUCUUGAAGGGGAAAUCCUGUUUAGAGGUAAUGCUGGCCACGCCUGCUUGGGGCUGGUCACAGGUGUCUAUGACUACACCUGAUUGGGUAUGGUCAGAGUGAUGUGGGAAAGGUUUAAGUAGUUUAGGGGUACACAUGGGGGCCACUUCUCUCACUCCCUGCCACAUGGCUAAGUGGACUUGUGUGAGUACUAUUAUUAAUAAACUCCCUGCAAUCAAUCUAGAUCUGACUCCACAUUGUGUUCGGCUUUAUUUGGUAUCAGCAGUUGGAUCACACCACAGCCCCUACCCUUUUCCCUGAUCGGAGCACCUACACAGGUCACCUGCCGGAUCUGCCCAAGGCCCCCAUCCUUGUCCUCUGAGCUGGAUAAGCCACCGCUGUCCCCGCUGCUCCCAAGCACAGUUUCCACCCAGUACUUUCCAUGGGAUUUUUCCCAACCCCUGCCUACCAGUAGCCACUGCCCUAGCAAAGCCCAUGCCUUUUCCAUCUGUUCUUAACUAGGUCCGAAAGGCUUUCAGAUAUUUUUCAGUUACUACUCAGACCAACUUAAACCAUCUGCAGCUGAACACUACACCACCACUACUGGCCACCUGCGCCACCUUCUGGUCAAAUGCAGUUACUGCAUCUGGAGUAUCAGCCAAGAGGUAAAAUCAAUUAUGGCAGAUCACCUGACAUUGCAAACAAUUGGGAAUAUUCUUGCUUCUUACAUGAAUUCAAUGUUAGAGGAGGCUUAUGACUUACCAGUUACAUACCUGUAUACCAUGUUAGCAGUCAGUCUCAUAAUUCAUGUGGUAUCUCUAACCAGAGGCCUGAGAAACAGUGAAAAGGACAGCUUAGCAAUUUGGAUGCAGGACAUAAAAGCCAGUCAGGAAAAC
ensembl:lincRNA